AUACAAGAUUAAUCGUAACAAACUUAUUAAAGAAAUGCCCCAAUUUCAACAAAGUCAUCACUAAGUGGAACUAUAUUUAACAUUUAAUAAUUCACUCAGAGGACCUGUAAGCUACAGCUGAAUUAUCUAGUCAUAGUCACGCUAUAAAACCUAGUAAUUGCCAAAUUCCAAAUUAACAUCCUCUAUUUCUUUUCAAUGCAUCCUGAGCAGACCCAGAUGCUGAGGUUGUAGCGCUCUCGCCAAGGACUUUAAUGGCUACAAAUAGGUACAUUUGUGAGGUUUGUCAUAAAGGAUUCCAGAGAGAUCAGAAUCUUCAGCUCCACAGGAGAGGACACAACUUGCCCUGGAAACUCAAGCAAAGGCCAAACACACAGGUUAAGAAGAGAGUGUAUGUCUGCCCUGAGCCAACUUGUG
rnacentral:misc_RNA from 1 species